AUUGAACGCUGGCGGCAGGCCUAACACAUGCAAGUCGAGCGGAUGAAGGGAGCUUGCUCCUGGAUUCAGCGGCGGACGGGUCAGUAAUGCCUAGGAAUCUGCCUGGGAGUGGGGGAUAACGUCCGGAAACGGGCGCUAAUACCGCAUACGUCCUGAGGGAGAAAGUGGGGGAUCUUCGGACCUCACGCUAUCAGAUGAGCCUAGGUCGGAUUAGCUAGUUGGUGGGGUAAAGGCCUACCAAGGCGACGAUCCGUAACUGGUCUGAGAGGAUGAUCAGUCACACUGGAACUGAGACACGGUCCAGACUCCUACGGGAGGCAGCAGUGGGGAAUAUUGGACAAUGGGCGAAAGCCUGAUCCAGCCAUGCCGCGUGUGAAGAAGGUCUUCGGAUUGUAAAGCACUUUAAGUUGGGAGGAAGGGCAGUAAGUUAAUACCUUGCUGUUUUGACGUUACCAACAGAAUAAGCACCGGCUAACUUCGUG
rnacentral:rRNA from 1 species